AAGUCUGGUGCCAGCAGCCGCGGUAAUUCCAGCUCCAAUAGCGUAUAUUAAAGUUGCUGCAGUUAAAAAGCUCGUAGUUGAAUUUCNNNACCAAUAUGUCGGUCGUGCUUCGGUACGUACUGUCAUAAUUGGUUUCUCCCUUCUGAAGAACCUUGAUGUCAUUAAUUUGGUGUCUUGGGGAAUCAGGACUGUUACUUUGAAAAAAUUAGAGUGUUUAAAGCAGGCUCGCGCUUGAAUACAUUAGCAUGGAAUAAUGAAAUAGGACGUUUGAUUCUAUUUUGUUGGUUUCUAGGAUCGACGUAAUGAUUAAUAGGGAUAGUUGGGGGCAUUAGUAUUCAAUUGUCAGAGGUGAAAUUCUUGGAUUUAUUGAAGACUAACUACUGCGAAAGCAUUUGCCAAGGAUGUUUUCAUUAAUCAAGAACGAAAGUUAGGGGAUCGAAGACGAUCAGAUACCGUCGUAGUCUAACCAUAAA
rnacentral:rRNA from 1 species